AUUCAUUUGACGGUGGGUAGAAAGCUAUUAUAUAAUUUUUUAUAUAAGGGAAACAGGUGCAAGUCCUGUGCGGUCCCGCCACUGUGAGUCUAAUUUUAUUAUGACAAGCCAGAUACCUUUAACUCCAUCAUGCGAUGU
rnacentral:ncRNA from 2 species